rnacentral:misc_RNA from 1 species
AAAAAAAAAAAAAAAAACCUAUUUGAUAAAGAAAACGAUCUCUCGUCAAAAAUCCACAUAGUACUAGAUCGAAGGAAACAAAAAUGAGCAAAAGUAGAUCAAAUCUGAAAAUUUCAGUACAUGUCAAGAUCGAGACGAGAACAAUGAAUCGCAGAAAGAUCGAAAGCAAAAGUAGAAUUUACCAUUUUUCCCUGAGCUUGUUAAU